UACGGGGGGGGCAAGCGUUGUUCGGAAUUACUGGGCGUAAAGGGUGCGUAGGCGGUCUGUUAAGUUGGAUGUGAAAACUCUGGGCUCAACCCAGAGCCUGCAUCCAAAACUGGCAGGCUAGAGUUCUGGAGGGGGUAGCGGAAUUCCUGGUGUAGCGGUGAAAUGCGUAGAUAUCAAGAGGAACACCUGAGGUGAAGACGGGUUGCUGGGCUGACACUGACGCUGAGGCGCGAAAGCCAGGGGAGCAAACGGG
rnacentral:rRNA from 1 species